GACGAACGCUGGCGGCGUGCUUAACACAUGCAAGUUGAACGAGAAUUUUUCGAGUGAUUUCUUCGGAAUGAUCAUGAAAAAGGAAAGUAGCGAACGGGUGAGUAACACGUGAGAAACCUGCCUUUCACAAAGGGAUAGCCUCGGGAAACCGGGAUUAAUACCUUAUGAAACCAAACACUCGAAUGAGAGAUUGGAUAAAGAUUUAUCGGUGUUAGAUGGUCUCGCGUCUGAUUAGCUAGUUGGUGGGAUAAAAGCCUACCAAGGCAACGAUCAGUAGCCGGCUUGAGAGGUUGAACGGCCACACUGGAACUGAGACACGGUCCAGACUCCUACGGGAGGCAGCAGUGGGGAAUUUUGCACAAUGGAGGAAACUCUGAUGCAGCGACGCCGCGUGAGUGAUGAAGGUCUUCGGAUUGUAAAACUCUGUCCUUAGUGCAGAUAAUGACAGUAACUAAGAAGCAAGCCCUCGCUAAAUACGUG
rnacentral:rRNA from 1 species